UUCUUUGUGAACUUGGAGCGCUGGUAGAGUGCUUUUCCUCAUUGCUAGUAAAAUAGGAAAUGGAGGGACUCCACGCAGAACCCCCUUCCCAAGUUUACCUUUCCUCCUUUGCAGGGAACUGCUGCCUCCCAGAGGAUAAAUGCGCAGAUAGUCUUUCCAUUAUCCGAAAUUCACAACCAUGAACCUGGCUGUUUGUUGUUGGUGCUGACUCGCAGGCAUGGAUGGAGUGCAAUGGCACAAUCUCGGCUGACUGCA
rnacentral:lncRNA from 1 species